UUCCAAAGUAACCACUUUCAAAAAGAUUUUUCAAAAUCCAUAAGAAACCACUCCCCAGUGAGAGAAUUACCUUCCUAUUUGUUCAUUAUAAAAUGACUUUUUUGUUUGUCCAAGUUCAAAAUAAUAAAAUCGAUUUUUAAAUUAAGUCACGCUUCUUAUUACACACAUGAAAAUAAUAAUACCAACAGCAACUAAGAUAAAUCUCAG